GGUGCAUGGUUGUCGUCAGCUCGUGUCGUGAGAUGUUGGGUUAAGUCCCGCAACGAGCGCAACCCUCGACCUUAGUUGCCAUCAUUCAGUUUGGGCACUCUAGCGAGACUGCCGGUAAUAACCGGAGAAGUGGGAUGACGUCAAAUCAUCAUGCCCCUUAUGACCUGGGCUACACACGUGCUACAAUGGUUGGUACAACGAGUUGCGAGUCGGUGACGGCGAGCUAAUCUCUUAAAGCCAAUCUCAGUUCGGAUUGUAGGCUGCAACUCGCCUACAUGAAGUCGGAAUCGCUAGUAAUCGCGGAUCAGCACGCCGCGGUGAAUACGUUCCCGGGCCUU
rnacentral:rRNA from 1 species